GUAUUCUUUUAUUUGAUUUUCAAAAGUAUUUACCUUUAUUGCUUAGACCAUUUCUUGGUAAUAUCCUGUUGACGUGGUCCGGUACUUACCUCACCAUUGUGUUAUUGUGCUAUGUUCAUUUUUGUAUGCUUGUCUUCCAUUUGUGCUUUUGUCUAUCUGUUAUUUUUUCUUGUUUGUUUGUUUUUGUGGUGAUAAAGAUUUUUAUUUUACUUUUAAUAGAACCAAUAAUUGACUCAAAAAUACUACAUACAGCAAGUGCAAUCGUUUAUCUUUCAGUUAAAACAGACGAGACAAACGAAAACUUAAAACAUUACAAAAUAAACUGGAAGAGAACUGGUACUUUUCCAACGAAUUAAAUUAAGAUCGAUACAGUCACAUACGAUUCUUUCAUAUUUUGACAAUUAUUUAUUAGCUGUUUAAAAUAUACUUUAGAAAAACAAGUAAUUUAAAAUUACAUAUUAUUUAUCUGACCGAUUUUUGUUAUAAACUAUUAGUAAUAACAAUCUUUCAAGAAACCUUGUGUAUUUCAGUUUGAAGCCAUUAUGACAGCAAUCAAAACGUAUCAUGCUGUCCUUGCAAUAUGUAUAUUAUAUUUGCUGAAUAAUGUCAACCUUGUAAAUGUAAGUAUAUUGUCAACA
rnacentral:lncRNA from 1 species